GAUGAAGAACGCAGCGAAAUGCGAUAAGUAGUGUGAAUUGCAGAAUUCAGUGAAUCAUCGAAUCUUUGAACGCACAUUGCGCCCCUUGGUAUUCCAUGGGGCAUGCCUGUUCGAGCGUCAUUUGUACCCUCAAGCUCAGCUUGGUGUUGGGCCCCGCCGCCCCGGCGGGCCCUAAAGUCAGUGGCGGUGCCGUCCGGCUCCGAGCGUAGUAAUUCUUCUCGCUCUGGAGGUCCGGUCGUGUGCUCGCCAGCAACCCCCAAUUUUUUUCAGGUUGACCUCGGAUCAGGUAGGGAUACCCGCUGAACUUAAGCAUAUCAAUAAGCGGAGGA
rnacentral:misc_RNA from 1 species